rnacentral:lncRNA from 1 species
UCUCAACUGUUGAGAUAUAAGGUUACCUUUCUGUCUUUGUAACUUCCAGAUCUUCAUAAAAGGAAAUCGCAAAAUUAAAAUUUCAACCAUAAAGGUGAAAGAAUUGUGUAAAAUAAGCUCUGAAGUUUCCUUAAAAUCUAACAUUUUAUAUUGUAGAUGACCAGUAGGUUUUAGAUUAUUGCACUGGAUAUUAACAUUUUAAUUCUUCCAAUUUGUUGGAUACUUAGCCGAACAAUUUAUAUUGAAAAUAACAAGAGAUUUUAAAAUCAUGUAUAUCUGACUUACCCUUUGGCUUGGAGAAACAGACACAGGUCAAUUAUAGAUUAUUCAUUUGUUAUUUUAAUUAAAUUAUAUGGACUGUGGCUUGCUAAUGCUCAAGACAGAAAAUGAAAGUGUUUUCUGCCCUUUUCCCUACACUAAGGGAUUAUUGAGAUAAUGACCUAAUAGUCUGGGUUGUGUAUAUGUCAGAAAAACUUCAUUUUAUUAAUAAGUGAUACUACAGAUACUGCCCAUUUAUUAUAUUGAUAGCAGCUGUGGAUAUGAGAAGAGUGGACCUAUAUAUGUCCAUAUAUAGGUAUAACCAAUAUAUAUGUAUAACAUAUAUAUGUCCAUAUAUAUGUAUAACCAAACCACAGGUGUUUUUUUGGAAGUCAUAUUAUACAGGGAGUUGACAGAGGUGUGAGCUGGACUUUAAGAAGCUGCACAUAAGAUGCUAGUAUGAUCAAGCUGGAAUGGACUUAGACAAUUUGAAACAACUUUUCUCAGUUUUCAGAUGAGGAAACUGACGGGUACCAAGCUUAAAUGACUUGACGAAGCUCAUAGAAGAUUAGCAGGUAGUAGAAUAAUGACUGCUGACUCCUAAUUCAGUGGAUCUUCCCUGGCCACCGUUUUGUAUUGAGCUGCAAUGCUUCCUUGACUGUUCUCCAUGCCAGAUUCUUAUCAAUGAUCUUUCACCUAAGAAACAGCAAAGAUUCUGGCAAGCACACGAUCUAGAGAUACAUCUUAUUGCGAUUUUUCACAAAAAUCAAAAGAAGAAAGAAGGCUUAGCUGGUGUUUAAUUAUUGUUAUUUUUUUCAAUAGGGAAAUCUGUACACAAUGAUUUAUCUCCAGUGAUUUGCCAUUGAUCAAUUUUUUUCUCAUUUCAUUUUCUAUUUUUUUGUUUUUUGUUUUUCUUUAUUUUUUAUUUUUUUCUCCUUUUUCUUUUUUUAAAUUUUCUGUUUAUCACAAAUGAUCAUGUAAUUAUAUGUUAAUACUAUGUAACCCCAGUGUUUUCAACUGUUUGUGAUUCAAUGUUACCCAGUUUUCUUUUCUUAAUUUUAAAUAAAUUUGAAAAAUUAUCUUAGAGUGUUUUGAGCCUGUGUUGGUACAUUUAGUUCUAGUUCAUUGUGGUAAAUCCACUUCAGUUUCUAAGUUUCCACCCUUUAGUAAAGACAUAUUUCUAAAUUUGGUUUAUAUCCUCAGUUACAAAAGAUUCUAACUGCUAGUUUUGUGACAGCAAUCACACAUACCAUCAAGGGAUGGGGCAGGCAGUUUUGGAAUGUGCUGAUGCUAGCAUUUUUAUAAGCCUAUGGCUUUUAUAGUCUAAAUUGUUCUUAUUUCUAUUAAUGCUUCAAUUUUUGACAAACACACAACCAUAGAAACAAAUAAUAAAUUUGUUUUUUGGGAAUUAUCCAGGAUUCUUGGUUAAGUGGGGAAUUUAGGCUUUGACAGCAUAAAGGAUCACGGAUAAGUAUUUUUCACGGUGGCUCUAAUUAUAAUGCUGAGCAUGUGGCAGGCACAGAAAUAUUUACUCAUUGACUGAAUAUAGCACAUCGUAAUGUUGAUUUUUUUCCAACAUAAUUUUAGAGCUAGGCAUAUUGUAUUCUAUUACACUAGACUAUAUAUCAUUCUUAAAUAGAACCAGCCUUGCUAGAUAACACAUGUUGGAGGAGAGGCCCUUCUUCUUAGCCCUCAGUGUUUCCAUCUAUGGGGAAGAAGUUCCACCAUACUAACAUUACUAUCGUCUCUCCACCUGCUCACUCACUUCUCCCCAAGGGAGGGGUGUUCGAUAUGGUUUCUGAGCUUGGAAAGAAAACUCAGGCAUGUGUAACAUGGUUCCUUCAGUCCCAUGACCCACUGUCCACAAAUGGGCUGCUCACAGAGUGCAUGCCUUCACCCUUGUUCCUGGCCAUGCAGGAAAUUGUAUGAAACAGUCCUAGCUGAAGCCUGAGAUUUUCCUGCAUUGCCUAGUCCUGGUGGGUAUCUGUCUACUCCUGGAGUUUGGAUUGGAAAGUCCACAUGCCUGAAGGUAUAAACCUAUUCUACAAAGGGGUGUUUUCUAGAAUGAAGGUAAUAUUUUUAUCUUACAUUUGCAGAAAGAGACAGAACAAUGUUAUAGGUGAGUGCAUGGACAAUGACCUCAAACAGCUAAGAUUCAAACCCCUGCGUUGAAUGAUUGAAUUGAAAUGAUUCAAUGAGCUAAUGUACAUAAAGCAUCCAGAAUGUUGCCUGGCACAAGGUAAAUGCUCUACAAAUGUCUGAUAUUAAUGUUAGCCUUUUGUUUCCCCGUUCAGUUGGUUCAGAACGUAGACAUUAUGUACUGGCUCUGCCUCACACCUCAAUAACAGAGAUUUCUUAAAGAAUAACUUAUAAACUCUUUUCAACUUCAAAUCACUCCGUGAUUAGGCUUAUCUUAUACCUUACUAGUUCUUAGCACCAGAAUUAUUUUUCCAAUUGUAGAACUAAUCAUGUUUCUCUGAAAUUCUUAAUUCGUGCAGACCUCUCAGUGGGGCUUCAAACUCUCACAGUCAGACCUCAGCAUACGUUUCCAGCCUUGUCUUCCUUACACACUGUGCUUUGGCACGAGUCUACCAUUGCUCACGGUUCCUGAAUCACAUGCAGUCUUCACACCAUGCAGCUUUGCUCUUUCUGCUUUGAGGGCUUUCCCCCUGCUCUGCUUGAUAGAUCAGAGCCCACCCUUCAUGGCCCAGCUCACAGGCCUACUCCUUUGUGAAACCUUUUCUUCUUACUCCCCAUUCAUGGAGGCCUCAUCUGUUGUGAAAGCAAAAGAACAUCUCAUUGCUGCUGUAACCCUUACUCACUUGAAUUUUAUGAAAAUUACGUGAACUCUGAGCUUCUGAAGGUCUUGGCCAGAGGGUCAGGUUCUCUUUACUUUUGUAUACUCAUCUCACCCAGCCCCUAACACAGUGACUUGCUCUUCAAUGAUUACCCAAGUAUGAGUCCAUCAAGGAAUUCUAUCAGAGUCUUUUCCAAAAUACCAACCAAACACAUCUACCUCUUUCCAUCUCCAUCUGAUCACCAUUAUCUCUGACUGGGUCUACUGUGGAAGCCUCCUAAAUUUUCUCCCUGCCUCUGUGCUGGCCCUAAUUUGGGUUAUUCCCUAAAUGGCCAUUGGAAUAAUGGAGUUAAGAUAUAAACCAAAUUAGGUUACCUCCCCACAUAAUACUGAAACCUCAAUUUUGAUCUUUCUGCACCUGCCCCUCUUUCACAUCUCAUAUUUUAUAAUCCCCCAUCUGCACCCUCACUCACUGAACUCUACUGACACUUCUCUCCUUUUCUCCUUUUGGUUUCUCAGACAGCCCAAACUUUUCUCAACCUCAGUCUCCUGCACACUCUUUUCCUUCUCCAUGAAAUGCUUAAGUCUUAACUUUUUUUUUUUUUUUUGACAGGGUCUUGCUCUGUCUCCCAGGCUGGAGUGCAAUGGCAUGAUCAAAGUUCACUGCAGCCUUGACCUCCUGGGUUCAACCAAUCCUCCUUCCUCAGCCUCUCACGUUGGUGGGACCACAGGCAUGCACCACCAUGCCCAGCUAAUUUUAAUUAUUUUUUUUUAGAGACAGGGUGUCACCAUCUUGCCCAGGUUUGUCUAGAAUUUCUGUGCUAAAGUGAUCUUCUCACCUUGGCCUCCCAAAGUGCUGGGAUUACAGGCCAUGAGCCAUGAUCUAGGCCAUGACUAGAUAUUGUUGUCCUUUAAGUUUCAGAUUACAAACCUCCUCCUAAGACACCCCGGCCCUCAGUCUAAGUUGAACACCCCCUCUGCGUAAUUCAUUAUACUGUGUAGUUGUAACCCUCAGAGCCUCAUUGUUUUUUUCACUGCAUUCAUAAGGAUUGGUAACAAUCUUUCUUCAGUGUGGGUUUUCCAAUGGUAUUAUCUGUUUUCUCCACUAGGCUAAAACUCCAUGAUGGCAGGAAUGAAGCCCAUCUUGUUAUCACUGUGUCCUGAGAAAUGAGCACAAACAGGAUGCAUGAGAGAACUGUGCUCAGUAAAAAACAGUUCACAGAUAGACUCUGAGGUCUUAAAAAUUCUCCAAGCAGAAACAGGACCCAGAGAGUACCUGGUUAAAGUCCUUCAUUUUACAAAGGGGAAAAUCAAGAUCCAGGACUUGUAAUGAGUUCUCCUAAUGCCCCAAGUCAGUGUCUGCCCAAAGGUCUCUGGUUUUUAGGGUAUCCUUCAUUAUCAAGUUCUCUUGCUUUAGGCUUCUGGAAACUAGCCAAUAACUGUAGAUUAUUAAUAAAGUAAUAUAACAGGAAAAUCAAAUGCUUCCUACACAACCUUUCACUGAGAAAUGAAAGCAAAGCCUAAGGAAAUGCCAUCUGACUAAUUUCUAACCAAUGCAAAUCUUCUCUCUUAGUCACCCCUAACAAAAAUGUCAAUGUUCUAUAAGCACAGUGAGAGGUGCCAAGGCCCAAGGCAGCUUUUUAGAUCUGCUCUGCCUCACAGAAGGGUCUAGGAUCUACUGCACAGUGGAGUGGCUCAGAGUUGCACUUGUUUAUUGGGCAAAUAGAGAAAAUCCAGAACCUUCAACAAACACCCUCUUUCUUCUAUGCCGUGGAGGGUUUUCUACCAUUAUCUGUGGCAUAUUUGUUAAUUGGUUGCCUUUAUUCAUGUUCCUGCUUCUUUUCCUCUUCAAGCCUCAAUGUUGUCAUCUCUAAAAUAGAGUGAUUGAUAUUGGCAGUCUUUUUAGCCUUGGCAUUCUUUGACCAGGAUUCUCCAAACAGAAACAAGAUCUAGAGAGUACCUGGUCCUGUUUCUGCUGUACAGUUAGUUCUCAACUUCAAAGGAUAAAUAUGAUUUGCUGAGCACAUUACUUAGGAUCUACCAUGCAUGGGAAAUUAGAUAAUCAUUUCAGCUCCUAAUUGCAUCCUCUAUUGUCCUGAGCAAGUAUAAGAUGCUGGUGAAUCCUGGAGCUAACACUUAGGUUUUCUGUUCCUUAGGACUGUAUUGUCUGCUAGACCAUUUAUUCAAAGUGGGAGGAUGAUGUUCUAAAAGCCAAUGAUAAAGCUCAUGGCAAUGCAGGGUAUAUCUGAUGGCAUGGAAUGCUUUAGGAUGGCCAAGAUUGCCCAUCAAAUGCCAAGUCACCGAAGGUACUCAUUUAUUCUAAAAAUAUCCACUAAGCAACCCUUUCUAAUAUGUGUUGUUCUAGGUUCUGGGAAAUAAGAAAUCAUUAGAAAAAGAUUUCUGCCUUCUAGAAGUACACAGUCUAAUGGUGAGAUAGGCAGGUAAGCUAUUACAACACAGUGAGAUAUGCACACGAGUAAAGCUGUUUUUCUUUGGUGUGCUCACAGUAAAGGGUAUAACUAACUCCAUCUGUGGGCUUCAGAAAGGGCUUCCCAGAGGAGGAUAUUUGAACUAGCUCUUGAAGGAUGAGAAAGAGUUUGCUUCAUAGAGAUAAAGGAGAGGAUAACAGCAGGUAGCAAAGCAGCAGUACACAAAGGUACUGAGUCCAGGCCUGGUCUCCUUUGGAAAUGGAGGAGGAGUAUAAGAGAAUUUUGUGGUAACAUCAGUAAGGAAAAAGAUGAAGGAGGGAGAGUAGAAAUGAGGCUGGAUGGGCGGUUUUGGAGGCCAACUGAGGAGGGUCUUACAUGCUAUGUUAACAGGCCUAGACUUCAUUCUAUAUGCAAACAGGGAGAUCCGGACUAAUGAGGGGUAUGUGUGUGUCCUUGUAUGUGCAUGUGCACGAAGGUGACAUAAUCAGGUAUGACUUUUAGAUGAUACUUGGUGACAAAGGAAGGGUGGAGAAUGUAAACUAGAGAAGCCUGGGAUAAUAUGGCUGCUUGGGAAUGGUGAGAAUUCUGGCAGCUGCAUUGCUGAUGAGUAAAGUGGAGGGAAGCUUUGGAAAAGUGUUUAGGGCCAAUCAGUAGAAGGUCAUACAUUCAUACUAAAGGGUUUGUUUCAAUAAGUAUAGCUAAAGAAUCCCACUCAUAGCUUUUUUUCCUGUGGUUUACAUGACAGUUAUUAAUGGCUCUCCUACUAGGAGCCUGACAUCAUGGUGAGCAUCGAGAAAGGAAUAACCUAAGCUGAAGACACGCCUUUUCAGGAGGCCAAGUUCCACGUUCUGUGCAUGCUUUUGGCGAAAGUCAGGUAAAGCCUCCAGAAAUGCAUGGUCUAUUCUCUCGGACCAUAUGGCUGUGGGCAAACUCUGGCUUCUUGGAGCCUCCAUUAGCCACCUAGGGAAAGGUAAUUGGCUUUAUGUUUGGCUCCAUCACUGCUGGCGACAAGCUCCACUGCAUUCUCAAGCAGUAGAUGAAAUACAACUGUGCUCCUGAAUGCAGCAAAGGAAAGAGAACCCAACUGGACCAGUGUGAAAUUGGGACCUUUGGAGGCAAGAAUGCACAUAUUUAUAAAUGAAUAAACAUAAUUUUUCUCUCUUCUUCCCAUUGGCAGCAUAUCUGAAGGCCCUGACUCAACAGUAGUGGGUCUUAAUGCUUGUGCUUGUCCACCCUUCUCGGCAGUGAUUGAUUUCAUUGUUGGCUUGUUUUCAUGACUUGAAUGUGCGAUCUUCAGAGGGCCUAAUUCCUUGCAAGUUCCAUUUGAGGGUGGAAGAGCUAGAACAAGCUAUAACCAGUAGACAACUCCGUGACUCAGGAGCUUAAGCAUGUGACUAAUUAGUAAGAAAAAAUGUGGUGAAGAUUUGUAGUUAAUAAGAAGGAAAGAAGAAUCACUGGGGCUAGAAUUAUGCAAGCUUUUGUUUCCUUUUGGGACUAUAUCAGAACUAUGAGAGAAGAAAGGCUACCUUUUACCUUUGAGGAAUUUUCAAAGCCUUUUUUUUUUUUUUUGGUUGGUUUGUGACUGACAAAGGGCACAAUUUCAACACCUCAGAAAAAUGCCUCAUCAUUUCCUCUUGUGAAAUCUGGGUGCUUCUGAAUGAAUCCAUGUUAGGAAUGUGUACUUCCAUCCAUUAAAGUCAAUGUCCAGUCUCAUUUUGGGCCAGAGGCUGUUACUAAGUUGUAGUACUGGUGAGAAAAGGACAGAGCAUUUACCUUCCCUGGGUAUCCUGUGACCUACAUGUGUCCUUGCAAGGCAGGGAAAUGUUACUAAUUAAGAGCAUAGCCUUUCGUCAGAUGGGUUCAGAUCCUAACACAUCCUCUUUCUGGUUACAGGACAGUCCUCUCUGAGCCUCAGUUUUCUCAUCUCUAAGAUGAGGCUAAUUAUACCUACUUCCCAGGGGGGUACUAAGGAUAAAGUAACAACACAAGAAAAUUUUUUAUCCUUGAUUUUCUUAGCUGGAAAAUUAGGCUAGAAAGACCUCCAUCCUUGGGGUAUUUAAAAUAAAAGGACAAACAUAUGAUGAGUCUAAGUGAUCAAUACAUUGUGGCUUUUGUACUUACUAUUCUGAAACAUGGGUGUGGCCUAGAUACUUUCCAAAAUUCUGCCCUCUCCACCUAGCAAAAUGACAACCAGACUUACAGAUAUGCCAACAAGCUAGUGUUUAAUAAUGGUGUUUGAUGAUAAAUGGCAUUUCUUUUCGACAUUUGUCUCUUUUUAAAACUUGGUGCUCUUAAAUGCAUCAUUGGAUAAGUGAUGACUGUUCCCAUUCGCAAGAAGAGACCUGGAAUCUAAGCAUGAAGGACCUGUCCUGAUGUUGAGAAGUGUGGAUCACAUUUAUUUGUAAACUUAGCUUCUUGCUCGUCUCAUGGUUGCUUUUUUUUCUUUUUCCUUUUUCUUUUUUUUUUUUUUUUUUUUUUUUUUUUUUUUGAGAGGGAGUCUCACUCUGUCACCCAGGCUGGAGUGCAGUGGUGUGAUCCCGGCUCACUGCAACCUCCACCUCCCGGUUUCAAGCAAUUCUCCUGCUUCAGCCUCCCCAGAAGCUGGGAUUACAGGCACGUGCCACCAUACCCGGCUAACUUUUUUUUUUUUUUUUUUUUUUUUUUGGGAUUUUUAGUAGAGAUGGGGUUUUGCCAUAUUGGUCAGGCUGGUCUCGAACUCCUGACUUCGUGGUCCGCCCACCCGCCUCAGCUUCCCAAAGUAUUAGGAUUACUGGCGUGAGCUACCGCGCCUGGCCUUAUGGUUUUUCUCAUUUUUUCUUCCCUUCCUCCCUCGAUUCCUUUGUUCCUUUUACUCUACCAUGCCUACUGUAAAGAAUAAACAAUAGAUUGGAUCUACUCUCAAGAUGCAGGAUAGAGAAAACCAUCAUUUAUUAAAUGGCAUCUACACCGCAGGCUUUGUACCAGGCACACACUCCACUGUUCCCAGUUAUCCCUUACUGCACCCCUAGAGGUAUAUGUUUUCCCAGAAAAGAUAAACAAGUUGCCCAAAGUCACAUAUCACAUAGCUAGCAAGCGAACAUGGGGCUGAAAUAAAACACUGCCCAAUUCCAAAAUCCAUAUACUUGUUUCUUCAUGUUUCCCUAUGAAAAUGGCAAAGGUGAGGAGUGUGUGGUGUGUGUGCGUGUGCGCGUGCAUGUGCGUGUGUGUUUGCACAUGGAAAAUUCCAAAUAUCACAACUUCUCUAUAGACACUAGACUCAUUCUUUGGCUAUGGCUGUGUCCGUUAUCCCAAACUCUAUCUUUACCCCAGUUUUUACACUUGCAAAAGUAGAGAAACUUUAAGGUCCACCAGCUUUUACUAACCUCCCUCUUGCUCUGAUAGCUGUGUAAUAAUUUUUGUAUCCUUCCCAGUGGGUUCCCAGUCUUUUCAUCUGCUAGGACCAUCUGGUAACUCAUCACCAAACAUGGUGCCUGACAGCAUCACUGGUGCCCUGCAAAUGUCCACCUGAUAAAUGAGUGAAUUAAUGAAUGAAUAAGAAAAUGAAGGAUACUGGCUGCCCCUGGCCAACUAUAUCUUGGCUUUGGCUUGUCAUUCUAGAUUUGUGAUACUGGCUUCUAGCAGAAGCUUAAAGCCUCUUUUUUGUUCUUUUGUUCCUCUAAUGUACUCCCCCUGCCCCUCCACCAAGAUGGGAAGGAGGGCUGAUCUGAGCAUUCAGGUUUCAGAAUGCUAAUUGGAUAGCAGCCAAUUAGAAGUAGAUCCGUAAGGAUUUAAUUAGACUUUCUGGGUAGAUUUGGAUAUUGCUUUCAAAAUGAAAAGGCCCCAAAUCCAGGUUCCCCUGGAUUAUAAUAGUUUUAUGGCUCUGCCCUGCUUUAAUUUGAGGCUAGUUGGCAAUACCCUGUCCAGGAAAAAGGAAUCUUCCAUGUAGUCCUGUCUGUUCUACUGAGGUCUACAUUUGGGUUUUAGCAAACAAUUCAGCUAAUAUAUAUUAUUUUUCUUUGUUCUCAAGGAUUUAAUGGCAAGAUGCCAUUAUAGACAAGAACAGGAUUCAGACACUUUCGUGUUAUGUGUUCUUGUCCAAAUACUGUGUCACUCUGCACUGGCAUCCCAAUCCCACCAACACCUUUAGCAGGAACUUCCUGUUUCAAUAACAUUUCUCAAUACUCUACCUGAUUGCUUAGAAUCCAUGAGACAGCCAUAUUCUCCAUGUCUAGGUCCCUAUCUUAUUUUUGUUGAGAUGGUGUUAAGACUUUAUUUGUGAGGCUUCUGGGGAAGAGGAGUAAGGUAUUGAUCCCACUGACUGGAUAAUUUGGGUCUCAAAAUGGAUAAUAAAUAAGCAUUACAUAUUUUGACCACUUCCUUGGAGGAGAACUUCUUGGAAUGUGCACCAUGUCCGCUGCACUUUUUUUGCACAGAUAUCUAAGUUGGAGAAACAUACUACUAGAUAAAUCAAUUUGUUCUCUUAGUACUCAUGAUAUGGUUCCUGGGAACUUCUGAUUCACCAAAUUAAUCUUGGCCAGGUACAUACCUGGCAGGAAUCCAAAAAUUCCCCAAGUCUCCUUGAAGUUCAGGAUCAUCAUUCUUAAUAAAUACACCGAGGGAAAAACCAUGGAGAGUUUGUCCCAGAUGCUGUGAAUCUGGCCCGGGGUACAUGAAGAAGUCCUUAAUUGCAGUCAUUUACAUGGUAGAUUCUCUAUAAUCAUUUAAUUUGCUAUAGGUCUAUGAUUUUUAGUCCUUCUUCUCUAAAUGAUUGAACAUGUAUAAUUCCCAUUUCAAUCAUAUUACCUGGAUGAACAAAAGUAACGCUAGACUCAUUCAUGCAUUCUGGUUGCCAAGGAAAAGGAAAAAAAAAACAAAACAAUCAACAGGAUGUUUAAACUGUCUUAGGGCAACUUCAGGCCAUAGUCACUGGUGUUCUUGCAGACUAUGAGAUAUUUUACAUUCUGAUAAGGGAUAAAAAUUCGUGCCUCACAUGGCUCCCAUCACACUAAGAUCUUGCAACAAUAACACUACUGAUUCAGACAUUAAUCUUAAGUAUCCAGGGAGCCCUAAAACAUUGUAUCCCACUAGCAAGGACCAUGGUAAUUGCCACGUAAAUCCCCUCCAUUAUGUGGCCCUUAUUAUGACCAGCCAGCCAAGGCUUGCCUUUAAAUCAUACCAAUUGAACCGAGCCUUGUAGAAACACUAUCACCUACGCAUACCUCUGCUUCUUUUCAUUAACCUGCUAUCCUCUUUACAAAUGGGAUUCUUCACCCACUCCCUUCUUCUAGAUUAGCAAUGCCCUGUUAAGUAAACGAACACGAAAUUCAAAGGGAAACAGGAGCAAUCAUCAUUACCAGCUGCCGUGUUAAGCAUUGCGAAAACGCUCACGAUUCACAGAAAAAUCCAUGCUGUUCUUUGAAGGCAUUCAAGCCUUAAUAGCUAGCUGGAUGAAUGUUUAACUUCUAGGCCAGGCACUACUCUGUCCCAACAAUAAGCCCUGUACAUUGGGAAAGGUGCCGAGACAUGAACUUUGGUCUUCUCUGCAAUCCAUCUGGAGCAUUCACUGACAACAUCGACUUUGAAGUUGCACUGACCUGGCCAGCCCUGCCACUUACCAGGUUGGCUCUGUAUGGCUAAGCGUUUUCUCCUAAAAUCCCUUGAAAACUGUGAGAAGACCAUAAGAAGAUCAUAUCUUUAAUUCUAUUUCACAAGUCACACAAUAUUCCAAUCAAAUACAGAUGGUUGAGAAAAGUCAUCCAUCUUCCCUCCCCACCCUCCCACAGCCCCUCAACCACUGCCCUGAAACUUAUAUGCUGUUAUCCGCAGCUCCAUCUGGAGCAUCACAGCUACUGUCAACCCUGACGCUCUUUCUGAAAAAACACCGGAUGGACAUCAGAACUAUUUCUUUAAGGAUGUUACUGAGCCACACAGGAAAACUUGCCUUAUGAUUUUGAAUGCACGGAUCUGAUUUGACUAAACAUGAUAACUAGAGAAUCACCCAAUCUACUCCCAUUUUCAACUCUAAAUCAUCAGAGUGUCUCAAAUCCAAAGCACACACAGACCAGCCUGGCCAACACGGUGAAACUCCACCCCUACUAAAAGUAUAAAAAUUAUCCAGGUGUGGUGGCGGGCGCCUGUAAUCCAAGCUACUUGGGAGUCUGGAGGCAGGAGAAUCCCUUGAACCUGGGAGAUGGAGGUUGCAGUGAGCAGAGAUCACACCACCGCACUCUAGCCUGGGCCACAAAUCAACAACAACAACAACAACAAAAAACAAAGCGCACACAGAGACUGAGGUCCUCUUUGGCAUUGAGAAGAUGGCUAUGCAAGUCCCAACUAGCAAGUGCAAACUUCCCAGCUUCACUUCUGCCAGUGUCCCUUCACCCCUUCUCAACCCCACUGGGAGGCAGGAGGGUGCUUGACAAUAACAGCCUUGGCAUCACUCUGCCAGGGUGUAAUAGGAACUGUUACAAUUCUGAGAUUCUGUGUAAGCACUGGCCUUUCUGCCUAGAAUGCCUUCUCCUCUCUUUUUUAACUGCAUGCUCCUAUUUAUCUUUCAAAGCCCGGAAAAAAUAACACUGCACACGGGAAAUGCUCCCUUCCUACUGCAGUCAUUUAGAUGACUCUAUGCCAUUCCAUUCAUUUCUCUUUCCUACCACAGAAGUGCUUUGAGAUUUUGGAGUCAGACUGCUUGAACUUGAAUCCUGGCCCUCUCAUCAGAGACUUGACUUAUUUUAGGCAAGUUAUAUAACCAAUUUUACCUCAGUUCCUUACCCAUAAAAUGGGUCUAAUGAGAGUACCUACCACACAGAAUUUUGAUGAAAACUGAAUGAGAUGAAGGCCUUUAAGGCAGUGGUCCCCAACCCUGGGGACACAGACAGGUACCAUUUUGUGGCCUGUUAGGAACUGGGCCACACAGCAGGAGGUGAGCAGUGGGUGAGUGAGAUCAGCGUUAUUUACAGCUGCUCCCCAUUGCUCACCUUACUGCCUGAGCUCCACCUCCUGUCAGAUCAGCAGUGGCAUUAAAUUCUCAUAGCAGCACAAACCCUGUCAUGAACUGCACAUGCGAGGGAUCUAGGUUGUGCGCUCCUUAUGAGAAUCUAAUGCCUAAUGACCUGUCACCGUCUCCCAUCACCCCUAGAUGGGAGUGUCUAGUUGCAGGAAACAAGCUCAGGGCUUCCACUGAUUCUACAUUAUGGUGAGUUGUAUAAUUAUUUCAUUAUAUAAUACAAUGUAAUAAUAAUAGAAACACAGUGCACAACAAAUGUAAUGUGCUUGAAUCAUCCCCAAACCAUCCCAGUCCACGGUCUUCCACAUUUUGUCUUUUCACAAAAUUGUCUUCCACAAAACUGGUCCCUGGUGCCAAAAAGGCUUGGGACCACUGCUUUAAAGCCUUUGCAUAGUGCUUAGAAUUGAGGGGGAAAAAAAAAACAAAAACAAUGUAGCUAGUUGCUACAAUCACUAUAUUGGUGAGUUUCAAAAGGAAAAGAAUUCUGUCCCAUUUAUGCUUGAGCCUUGAGUUGCUAACCAAGCCUGACACAAAAUUACUGUUGAAGGGAUGUGUGAGUCCUAAUUGAAAUGAGGCCUCUUAAGGGAAUUGUGGACCAAACCCCAAGCAGGCAGAAAGCCGUAUCUUAAUUAUUGCAAGUAUUUCAGGCAAGGUGUGGAUGGCCAUUUGAAUUCAAGCAGACUAGGACCUGGGAUGAGAAAGAAGGUGUGUACGUGACUUGAUCUUUGAACUUUAGCUCACCAUCUGGAAGAAGGCUGAGUAUUCUCUGCACUCACAUAGUAGCUAAUGCCUACUCCCCAGCCACCCACAAUUCUUUCUGUAGGAAGGCUCGCUAGAAUACUUUGUGAUAUUGGAUAUUAGUUCCAUAUUCUACUGUGUAUCUUAGUUCAACCAAAUUGUAAUCAUCUGAUAUUUAUUUCUUUUAAUAUAAAUAUAAGUAUAUUAAGUCUUGGCAUGCUUGCUCAGUCUCUCUCUCUCUCCCAUUCCUCCCCGCUCCCCUCUCUCUUUCCCAACAGGCUUGGAAAGCAGGCAUCACCAUGCCUAUUUAACAGUUGGGGUCCCUUGGCCACCAGGUGCUGGAGUAGGAAUCUGAGCCCGGACAUGCCUGAUCUGUAAAUUUUGUGUUUUCCCCACUGUGCUGGGCAGAUCACAGCUAUCAGCGCCAAAUUCAUAGAAGGGGCGCCCCCUGUGGUCAAUUGAGGGAUUUGUGUUUGAGGUAGAUCUCAAGAAGGAAUGGGUGGGGAACUUAGCCUAGGACAGAGCAGAAAGGAGCCCUCACUCCCCAAGCACCAACGGCCUCAGUCCUUCCUGCUGACUCCAGCCUCUAGCUCUCACCCAGACUAUCUGCAUCCUUCUCUCCACCACGCUCCUUUGGAACCUGCGUAAAACACAGAUUAAAGGAAUUCCGCCUUACUUCCCUUUCCGCAUUAUGACCAAAUGGUUUUACACUAUCAUUGAACAGUUUAGUACAAAACAUGCCACCUUUUAAUCUAUUCAUUCAUUUAACAAAUACUUUGGAGUGUUUACCAUGUGCCAAGUGCUGUUCUAAUAGACAUAAGCUGUGAGGUUAUGCUUAUCUGAUUCUCACAGCAACAGCUUUCGAGAUAUGAAUUGGUAUACUCAUUUGACAGAUGAGGAAAUUGAAUUCAUGUAGUGAGAAAGGAAGAGCUGCAAUUCAGGGUUACUGGUUUCUCCUGCACUAAGCACUGAGCCACACUAGAAGAGAAGGCAUGAGGAAGACAAAAGUGAGAAGGUACGAGAGAAGAUAUUAAGUAGAGGUCUAUUAGUUCCUCUUAAAACUAUUUAUGAAAGAGGCGGAUGGGGUAGUGGAUGGGAAAGACAGAUGGAUUCAUGUUCUUCACUCCAGGUUUCCCCCCAUUCCCUUCCCUUUUAAAUGCCUGCUCAUUUUUUGGCUACCUUUCAAGCUCUAGGAAAUACUCUGGAAUUCCAGGCUGGGAGGGGUUUCCUUUGCAGAUCUGGCUAUUGUAACUUUACAAGAAAUUGCUCAAUACUUCCUCUCACCAGUUACAAACCACGGUUUUCUGAAUGAACUUUAUGUUCAUUAAACAGUUAACCCUUCAGCUUUCUGACUCACAUUUUUCAUGUUAUUAAUCAGCUCUUAGAGUAAGGUAAAAUCUAGAACAGACUUUAUAUACACCCUCCCUCCCACACACAUAUACAUACAUAAUACAAACACAGACCACACAUGUCCACAUCCUUAUGCGCAAACACUAAGAAACACACGCAUACACAAACAUACAUGUACACAAAAUUAAAUACAUAGCUAUGGCACUUUCACUAUACAUGUAAACACCCUUACACACAUACAAAUGUACAUGCGCGUGUGCGCACACACAUAUGGAAUUAGCUUUUUCUCUUUGUGGGAGGAGGGAAAUGAAAAGACCCAAAACAUUCAGAUUCCCAAAUGGACACGUAAGAACCCCGUCAUGGAAAUAGGUCUGGGUUUUUUUCUCUUUUGAGGGAAGCAGGGCGUUUCUGGUUACUGUCGCCAUUGCCAUUGUGCCCCUGCUUACCAUCCCCCUGCACCGCCCCCCCGGCCCCCGCCCGCCACUGCUAGGGUUUACAGGUCAUCCCUGGAUUAAAUAAGUGAUAUUGUGUUUUUUUUUCUUUGACACAAAGUAAAAUUAUAAUUAAUAUUGAAUAAAGUAAAAAUGAACUCCUGAGUUCCAGUCCCUUAUGUAACACACCUGGUUUGUGGCAGGCACUCAGGAAAUAUUAGUUGCAUGAACGAAGGCUGCAUUUUCAUUAGAACAACAUGCAGUUCAACCCCUUCAUGUUUCAAUGAGGGUUCAGAUACCCAGAGGGCUAUGCUAUCAUCCUGGAGCCCACUCUGCUAACAAUUAGCAGAACGGAAGCCUUAAUUUCCAGAUUCUAGUGAACUUGAUGAGUCAAGACUAUUGCAAUUGGAAAUCUGUUCUCCUCUGCUGCUGCAUUCCCUGCUUAAUACUCAAGCCAGAAACCAGGAAGGCUGUGGCUUGCCUUUUCACUUCUUGUGUCCUGUUUAAGAAAUAUCUGCUAUCCCAAGCAUCUGGCAUCUUUCUUGACAUAUGUAGCAGUUGCUUUUUGACAGCUUGCUUCUUCAGUGAAUGAAUAAAUUAAUAAAGAGAAAUGUGAUGUUCAGUGAUCCAUUUUGCAGAUUGCAAACUCCUAGAGAAGGGCUCAACAGUGAGUGCUGAGGCUGCACAGAGGAGGAAGGCAGCACAAUGAUGGAAGGCUUCCUAAAGAGAUAACACUAACAAAGUUGACCUUAGAAUUGGAGUGCCUGGGUUAGAACCCUGCUGGUACCACCUGCUUACUGCAUGCUUCUGAUGUGAGUUCAGGAGAAGACACUGGCAAGGACAGCAAAGAACAGGAGAACACUCUAGCUUCCCUGAUAGCAUUCAAGGUGCUGUCCAAACUGACUGUGAUGGCACCCUCCAGACAGACAGCGAUGCCACAUGUUCAAGAUGGCAGAAUCACUAUCAGCUUCAAUUCCUGAAUGACUGCAGAGCAAAAUUUCUUACCUGCAACAUACACUCUAUUUUCAGCCUCCCUGGACUGUUACAUAAUGAUACAUAAAAAUAUUUCUUGUGUUGAGGCAUCCCAAAUUUGAUUUAUUUGUCAUCACAGUCUAUCCUAUGAAUAUAUUUCUGAUCCAAAUAAUGCUAGAUUCAUGAGAGUUUAUAGUCCAGAGAUUUUUUUUUUUUUUUUGAGACAGAAUCUGUCUCCCAGGCUGGGGUGCAGUGGCAUAAUCUUAGCUCACUGCAACCUCUGCCUCCCGGGCUCAAGUGAUCCUCCCUCCUUAGCCUCCAUGAGUAGCUGGGACCACAGGUGUGCACCACCACACCCCGCUAAUUAUUUUGUAUUUUUUGCAGAGGGGGGUUUCACCACAUUGCCCAAGCUGGUCUCAAACUCCUAGACUUAAGGGAUCUGCCUGCCUUGGCCUCCCAAAAUGCUGAAAUUACACUUGUUAGCCAUAGUAAUAGUUCCUAGCCAUAGUCCGGAGAUAUUUUAAAAACUUUAGUGUGAGUUAUUUCUCUUUGCUAUAAUUCUCUCAUGCAUUUUGAAAACCUUUUCUGCCAUACAGUGGUUUUUGGGAAGUCCUUUUGGACAGACAUAUCACAGGAUGGAGAAACUAAAAAGAGAGAAUGCAUUAAAGAAAAAAUAGUACUUCGUAUUUCAGAAAUUACAAAAGGGUGUCAUGCCCCACAGCAUGGUGGGCAGUCAUUUGUAACCCACAGAACAUUGAGUUUCUAAAAUUUGAGUGUUUUUAACUUACGAAGGCCAACUUUACUGAUGAAGUGAUUACCCCAAAUAUGUGAAAUCCAUAUUUCAAGUACAAUAGUAGGAAAUUGGAAAUGGGUAGGUAUAUUUCUGACUGUCAAAGAGUACAAAGUAAAGAGGGGCCCCUGAAGAGUGACACUACUGGAAAAACAGAAGAAAAAAAAAACUGUUUCUUUUUUUAAAGAGCAGUCAACCUCAAACUUACUACUAAUGACUGUAUUUCAUUUCAGUCUACCCCAGUGGUUUUGUUUCUCAUAGACUGUAGAAUGUAAGCCUUUUUGGUCAUUCUGACAGAUUUUCCAGCACAAAGAAUAUCAGGGGAUUAACUGACAAAUCAUGGGUAUUUUUGGCAAGAUAGUAGAUUAACCCUGGAAAUUUUCUCCAUCUAUGAGAAAAAAAGACAUGUGCCACCUGAGGGUUACAAAGACUGUUGGUGGCUGACCUCAGGCUCCUGUCUUUUAUUUUAUUUUAUUUUUUUACCAUUUUACCUCUGCCCUGUUUUUUUAAAUUAUUAUUAUUUUACUUUAAGUUCUGGGAUACAUGUGCAGAACUGCGGGUUUGUUACAUGUGCCAUGGUGGUUUGCUGCACCUAUCAACCCGUCAUCUAGGUUUUAAGUCCCACAUGCAUUAGGUAUUUGUCGUAAUGCUCUCCCUCCCCUUGGGCCCCACCCCUCAACGCGCCCCACCCCUCAACAGGCCCCAGGGUGUGAUGUUCCUCUCUGUGUGUCCUUGUGUUCUCACUGUUCAGCUCCCACUUAUGAGUGAGAACACACAGUGUUUGGUUUUCUGUUCCUGUGUUAGUUGGCUGAGAAUUAUGGCUUGCAGCUUCAUCCAUGUCCCUGUAAAGGACAUGAACCCAUUAUUUUUUGUGGCUGCAUAGUAUUCCAUGGUAUAUGCCAUGUGCCAUGUUUGCUUUAUCAUUGAUGGGCAUUUGGGUUGGUUCCAAGUCUUUUCUAUUGUAAUUAGUGCUGCAAUAAGCAUACGUGUGCAUGUGUCUUUAUAGUAGAAUGAUUUAUAAUCCUUUGGGUAUAUACCCAGUAAUGGGAUUGCUGGGUCAAAUGGUAUUUCUGGUUCUAGAUGCUUGAGGAAUCAUCACACUGUCUUCCACAAUGGUUGAACUAAUUUACACUCCCACAAACAGUGUAAAAGCGUUCCUAUUUCUCCACAGCAUCACCAGCAUCUGUUGUUUCCUGACUUCUUAAUAAUUGCCAUUCUAACUGGUGUGAGAUGGUAUCUCAUCAUGGUUUUGAUUUGCAUUUUUCUAAUGACCAGUGAUGAUGAGUUUUUUUCAUAUGUUUGUUGGCCAAAUAAAUGUCUUCUUUUGAGAAGUAUCUGUUCAUAUCCUUUGCCCAUUUAUUGAUGGGGUUGCUUGAUUUUUUUCUUGUAAAUUUGUUUUCAGUUCCUUGUAAAUUCUAGAUAUUAGACCUUUGUCAGAUGGGUAGACUGCAAAAAUUUUCUCCCAUUCUAUAGGUUGCUUGUUCACUAUGGUGAUAAUUUCUUUUGCUGAACAGAAGCUCUUUAGUUAAUUAGAUCCCAUUUGUCAAUUUUGGCUUUUGUUGCCAUUGCUUUUGAUGCUUUAGUCAUGAAGUCUCUGCCCAUGCCUGUGUCCUGAAUGGUAUUGCCUGGGUUUUCUUCUAGGGUUUUUAUGGUUUGGGGUUUUACAUUCAAGGCUUUAAUCCAUCUUGAGUUAAUUUUUGUAUAAGGUAUAAGGAAGGGGUUCAGUUUCUGUUUACUGCAUAUGGCUAGCCAGUUUUCCUAGCACCAUUUAUUAAAUAGAAAGUCCUUUCCCCAUUGCUUGUUUUUGUCAGGUUUGUCAAAGGUCAGAUGGUUGUAGAUGUGUGGUGUUAUUUCUGAGGUCUCUGUUUCAUUGGUCUAUAUAUCUGUUUUGGUACCAGUACCAUGCUGUUUUGGUUACUGUAGCCUUGUAGUAUAGUUUGAAGUCAGGUAGUAUGAUGCCUCCAGCUUUGUUCUUUUUGCUUAGGAUUGUCUUGGCUAUAUGGGCUCUUUUUUGGUUCCAGAUGAAAUUUAAAGUAGUUUUUUUCUAAUGCUGCAAAAAAAGUCAAUGUUAGCUUGAUGGGAGUAGCAUUGAAUCUAUACAUUACUUUGCUCUGCCCCUGUUUAUACAUACAUGACUGAUAUGGUUUGGCUGUGUCCCUGCCCAAAUCUCAUCUUGAAUUCCCACAUGUUGUGGGAGGAACCUGGGGGGAGGCAACUGAUCAUGGGGCAAGUCUUUGCCAUGCUGUUCUUGUGAUAGUGAAUAAGUCUCAUGAGAUCUGACGGUUUUAAAAAGAGGAGUUCCCCUGCACAAAUUCUCUCUCUUUGCCUGCUGCCAUCCAUGUAAGGCAUGACUUACUCCUCCUUGCCUUCUGCCAUGAUUGUGGGGCUUCCUCAGCCAUGUGAAACUGUAAGUCCAAUUAAACAUCUUUCUUUUGUAAAUUGCCCCGUCUCAGGUAUGUCUUUAUCAGCAGUGUGAAAAUGGACUAAUACAAUGAUACAAGAGUAGUUAGAACAGUAUUUAUAAAUGUGCCAAUGUUAAUCAACAUAGGAGUUAACGAUUCCCUGUUUUUCUGUGAUUUCUCAUGCACCAAAAAUAUAUUAAGAUAAAAUAUACAAUUUUCAUUCACUAUUAAGUGACUAACCUCAUAUUGCUUUCAAAGGCAUUUAUUGGCACCUACUAUGUGUGAAUACACUCAGCUUGCUUAUGUGAAAGCUGAAUAACAAAGUGGUUAUGUAACUUAAUGAAGGUCCCACAACUAGGAAGUGGUAGAGUAACUUUCUAAACCACUUUCCUCCCAGUUUAGUUUCACAUUCAUGUGUUCAGUCAACAAGCACUUAUGGAAUCCUGAUGCUGGGCCCUACUUUAUGGUAGACACUGAAGAUACAGACUUUGUCCCUGCCCUCAUGGAGUUCACAGUUCAGGAGGGAAACCAGAUUUAAUCAAAUAACCACACAAAAAUUUGCUCGUAAAAUGAAACCAAUGCUAUAAGGAAAAUGAACAGGGUGAUUUGAGAGCAUAUAAUAGGAUUUUAUCAUAUCUGAUGAUUCAGAGUAAUGUUCUCCUAUAGAAGAGAUGUGGGAACUGACAUCUGAAGUGUCAGUGUUAGUUAGCCAGGUGUGGUAUAUAAAAGAUGACCAGCUUAUCCACCAAGAGGUAGAAUUGCUUUCCCCAUGCAUUAAAUCUGGACUGGCCUUUGACUUGCAGUGUCCAACAGAUAAAGUGGAAGUUUCUGCUCUUGCUCCCUUGGAAUAUUGUUCUGAGACUGCCAGCUGAAGAAGUCUAGUCUAGUCUAGUUUAUUAGUGGAUGAGAGGCUGGUAGAAAAGCGAAAAACUGUUGCAGCUGAGUCCCCUGAGUCCAACCAGUUGACAGCCUGCAGCGACUGUGUGAGGCCAUCUUAGAUUAUUCAGCCCCACUACAGAUGCCAAAUAUCUGCAGCUGUAAAAGUGAUUCCAGGCAAUAACAGAAGAACCAUCCUGCUGAUCCUAGCCCAAAUUGCUGGCCAUAGAACCAUGAGCUAAUAAGACAGCUGUGGUUAUAAUAUAUUGAGUUUGGGGUUGGCAUGUUACAUGGCAGUCAGUUAUUGAUACCCUGAGAGAAGUAUGGAAGCUGGGACUGAAUUCUAGGAAGAGGGAAAGAUAUAGGCAAAGGUCCUGAGGAGGGAAGAAUAAACUUUUAGAGAACUGAAAGAAAGAUGAUGAGAUAGAAGACUUCAGAGGGCUAGGCAAGGCCCAAGUCUAAAAGCAGUGUCUUAGAAUCUGUCAAAAAUCUCAUCUUUUUAUUGUUGUUUGGAACAAAGUCUUUCUUUAUUGCCUAGGCUGCAGUCAUGCAGUGGCACAAUUAAAGCUCACUUCAGCCUCGACCUCCUGAGCUCAAGCAAUCAGCCUCCUGACUAGCUGGGACUACAGGUGUGGAUGACUAUACCCAGCUAUUUUUUUUUUUUUAUUUUUUGUAGAAACAGGGUCUUACCAUGUUGCUCAGGCUGGUCUCAGACUUCUGGGCUCAAGCAAUCCUCCUGCCUCAGCCUCCCAAAGUGUUUGGAUUAUAGGCAUGAGCUAGCAUGCUCGGCUGUGAGUUCAAUUUUUUUCUUUAAAAGCAAGAGAAAGUCACUGUAGAGAUUUUGAGCUCAGAAGUGUCAUGAAUAGACUUGCACAUGUGCAUAUAUUGUUUUUUUUUUUUUUCACCAGGCGCAAACUUAUGGUGGAAGGGACCUACAUUAAGCACACAUAAGUAGAAGCUGGCCAGGCACGGUGGCUCAUGCCUGUAAUCCCAGCACUUUGGGAGGCCGAGACUGGUGGAUCACGAGGUCAGGAGAUCGAGACCAUCCUGGCUAACAUGGUGAAACCCCGUCUCUAUCAAAAAUACAAAAAAAAAUUAGCCAGGUAUGGUGGGGGGCGCCUAUACUCCCAGCUACUCGGGAGGCUAAGGCAGAAGAACGGC